rnacentral:rRNA from 1 species
GAUGAACGCUGGCGGCGUGCCUAAUACAUGCAAGUCGAGCGAACGGACGAGAAGCUUGCUUCUCUGAUGUUAGCGGCGGACGGGUGAGUAACACGUGGAUAACCUACCUAUAAGACUGGGAUAACUUCGGGAAACCGGAGCUAAUACCGGAUAAUAUUUUGAACCGCAUGGUUCAAAAGUGAAAGACGGUCUUGCUGUCACUUAUAGAUGGAUCCGCGCUGCAUUAGCUAGUUGGUAAGGUAACGGCUUACCAAGGCAACGAUGCAUAGCCGACCUGAGAGGGUGAUCGGCCACACUGGAACUGAGACACGGUCCAGACUCCUACGGGAGGCAGCAGUAGGGAAUCUUCCGCAAUGGGCGAAAGCCUGACGGAGCAACGCCGCGUGAGUGAUGAAGGUCUUCGGAUCGUAAAACUCUGUUAUUAGGGAAGAACAUAUGUGUAAGUAACUGUGCACAUCUUGACGGUACCUAAUCAGAAAGCCACGGCUAACUACGUGCCAGCAGCCGCGGUAAUACGUAGGUGGCAAGCGUUAUCCGGAAUUAUUGGGCGUAAAGCGCGCGUAGGCGGUUUUUUAAGUCUGAUGUGAAAGCCCACGGCUCAACCGUGGAGGGUCAUUGGAAACUGGAAAACUUGAGUGCAGAAGAGGAAAGUGGAAUUCCAUGUGUAGCGGUGAAAUGCGCAGAGAUAUGGAGGAACACCAGUGGCGAAGGCGACUUUCUGGUCUGUAACUGACGCUGAUGUGCGAAAGCGUGGGGAUCAAACAGGAUUAGAUACCCUGGUAGUCCACGCCGUAAACGAUGAGUGCUAAGUGUUAGGGGGUUUCCGCCCCUUAGUGCUGCAGCUAACGCAUUAAGCACUCCGCCUGGGAAGUACGACCGCAAGGUUGAAACUCAAAGGAAUUGACGGGGACCCGCACAAGCGGUGGAGCAUGUGGUUUAAUUCGAAGCAACGCGAAGAACCUUACCAAAUCUUGACAUCCUUUGACAACUCUAGAGAUAGAGCCUUCCCCUUCGGGGGGCAAAGUGACAGGUGGUGCAUGGUUGUCGUCAGCUCGUGUCGUGAGAUGUUGGGUUAAGUCCCGCAACGAGCGCAACCCUUAAGCUUAGUUGCCAUCAUUAAGUUGGGCACUCUAAGUUGACUGCCGGUGACAAACCGGAGGAAGGUGGGGAUGACGUCAAAUCAUCAUGCCCCUUAUGAUUUGGGCUACACACGUGCUACAAUGGACAAUACAAAGGGCAGCGAAACCGCGAGGUCAAGCAAAUCCCAUAAAGUUGUUCUCAGUUCGGAUUGUAGUCUGCAACUCGACUACAUGAAGCUGGAAUCGCUAGUAAUCGUAGAUCAGCAUGCUACGGUGAAUACGUUCCCGGGUCU